rnacentral:tRNA from 1 species
AUAGCUCAGUUGGUUAGAGCAGAGGACUCAUAAUCCUUUGGUCCACGGUUCUUAUGUGGUAUGAAUGUCGGUGUGG